GUAUUUUUUUGUUAGAUGCAAAUAGUACGGUAUUCCGAACUGACACUAAAAAUAGCUGUCAUCUCAAAGAAUCCAGUGCUUGUGUCACAGUAUGAGAAAGUAGAUGCUGGGGAACAGCGUUUAAUGAAUGAAGCAUUCCAGCCAGCCAGUGAUCUCUUUGGACCUUGCAUUCUCCAUCAGAUUGGAUCACCUCCCACCCUGAGGCCCGCCAAAACUUUGAACAGUUCUUCAGUCAUCCUUACAGAAAGACACCCUCUCCAGACAAACGCAGUAUUUAUAUACAGUCCAUUGGAUCUCUAUGAAGCACCAGAAUUAUCAGUGAAGAAUAUAUUAAAUGGCUCACGGGCUACUGUAAAGCAUAUUUCUAUGGCUUGAGAGUAAAACUGCUAGAACCAGUUCCUGUUUCUACAACAAGGUGUUCCUUUAGAGUCAAUGAGAACACACAAAACCUACAAAUUCAUGCAGGGGACAUCCUGAAGUUCUUGAAAAAGAAGAAACCUGAAGAUGCCUUCUGUGUUGUGGGAAUAACAAUGAUUGAUCUUUACCCAAGAGACUCGUGGAAUUUUGUCUUUGGACAGGCCUCUUUGACAGAUGGCACUGGUGAGGUGGAUUGAUGAUGAAUCUUCUGGCACACCUGGAGCAACUCCAGAACACAGUCGUGAGGAUAAUGGGAAUUUAGUGACACCCGUGGAAGGAAGCCUUUAAGGAAUGGAAAGAGUGGAUAAUAAAAUGCCUGACUGUUCUCCAAAAAUGAGGACCUUCAAAUAGGAGUGAUUGAAAUAAAUGACUACUUGCAUGUUAUGCUUUCAUUUG
rnacentral:lncRNA from 1 species